CCUACGGGCGGCAGCAGUGGGGAAUAUUGGGCAAUGGGCGCAAGCCUGACCCAGCAACGCCGCGUGAAGGAAGAAGGCUUUCGGGUCGUAAACUUCUUUUGUCAGGGACGAAGCACGUGACGGUACCUGACGAAUAAGCCACGGCUAACGACGUGCCAGCAGCCGCGGUAAUACGUAGGUGGCAAGCGUUAUCCGGAUUUAUUGGGUGUAAAGGGCGUGUAGGCGGGAAUGCAAGUCAGAUGUGAAAACUAAGGGCUCAACCCAUAGCCUGCAUUGGAAACUGUAUUUCUUGAGUGCUGGAGAGGCGAGUGGAAUUCCGUGUGUAGCGGUGAAAUGCGUAGAUAUACGGAGGAACACCAGUGGCGAAGGCGGAUUGCUGGACAGUAACUGACGCUGAGGCGCGAAAGCGUGGGGAGCAAACAGGAUUAGAUACCCCAGUAGUC
rnacentral:rRNA from 1 species